rnacentral:rRNA from 1 species
AUUGAACGCUGGCGGCAGGCUUAACACAUGCAAGUCGAGCGAGCGGCGGACGGGUGAGUAAUGUCUGGGAAACUGCCUGAUGGCGGGGGAUAACUACUGGACACGGUAGCUCAUACCGCAUACCAUCAGAUGUGCCCACAUUGGAUUAGCUAGUAGGUGGGGUAAUGGCUCACCUAGGCGACGAUCCCUAGCUGGUCUGAGAGGAUGACCAGCCACACUGGAACUGAGACACGGGCCAGACUCCUACGGGAGGCAGCAGUGGGGAAUAUUGCACAAUGGGCGCAAGCCUGAUGCAGCCAUGCCGCGUGUGUGAAGAAGGCCUUCGGGUUGUAAAGCACUUUCAGCGAGGAGGAGUUACUCGCAGAAGAAGCACCGGCUAACUCCGUGCCAGCAGCCGCGGUAAUUC